GACCGUGACCUGGACGACGCGCGGCUUCUUGGGCUCGGGCGGGGGCUUCUUGUCGACGAUGACGGUGAGCACGCCGUCCUUGUACUCGGCGCGGAUGCUGUCCAGGUCGGCGCUCUCCGGCAGCGGGAACCGCCUCAUGAACUUGCCCAUCCGCCUCUCCAUCCUCAGGUACUUCACCACCCCUUGCUGCUGCUCGCCGGCGCCGGCGCCGGCCUGCUGCUUCUGCUUGCCGCCGUCGGCCGCCUGCUGCUGCUGCUGCUGCUGCUGCUUCUGCGUGGCGUCGGCUUCGGCGUCGGCGCCGCAGUCCUCGGCGGGGCGCUUGCGCUCGCCGCUGAUGGCGAGCACGUUGCCGUCCUCCACCUGGACCUUGACGUCGGCGAGGCUGACCCCGGGCAUGUCGACGGCCAGGACGAUGUGCCCCGACGGCAGCUCCUUGACGUCCAUGGGCGUGUUGGCCAUGGCCCUGCGGUCGCGCACGUAGGCCCGCGUCGGCGCGUUCAGCUGCCGCUCCAGCUCGUCCGGCAGCUCCAUCAGGUGCUGCACCGCCGCCGAGAACGCCGGGUCGCCGAGCAUGAACUCCAUUGCUAGCUCGAUCGAGCUGGGUUUAAUUUGCUGAUCAACAAUGGCUGGUGGUGACUUGAGGCCGUGUAGUGAUGAUCGUCUCGGCGUUGAUCUUGGGACUGAGAUGAGACGGGAGGCCCGGAUAGGUUUUAUAUAGUGAUGAAGGGGAGUAUGAGUAUGUUUGUUCGGUGGGUGUGGGAGCUGUGUGAUGACACGUGAGCUGGCCGGAGAGAUGGACAAGGCUUCUGUGUAUGACACGGCCGCAUCAAGGCUGUGCUAGGUGUCAUGUGGAGCAUCAAACUCGUGCCCUUGGCCUUCAGGUGUGACACGGCAGCAUCAAGGAUGUAGGUGUCACCUGGAGCAUCAAACACGUAACAUCUUGGUGUCAGGCAACAUGACAUCCUGAUAGUGCUUAAUUAAGUUUGAGUCUUUUUUUUUGACAAGGUCCUUCGGUCUUUAUAUAAUGUAUAUGGGAUAUCAAGUAGAAACCACGAUCUUUAUAAAAACCCAUACGAGCUAUGACAAAAAAGUUAUCUAAAUUUAUAAAAAAAACAUGUAGAUAAUAUAAAUAUUCAUAAUUUUGUGAAAUAUCUUAUUCAAAUUUGAAUUUGUUUGUAAGAUAUAAAAAUAACAAAUUUCAAGUAAGUUAGCUACUUUUUUUGAAAAAAAUAAAUAAAAUGAGGUGCCUCUACCAUCCGAAAGGUGAUAGGAGCUAACACAAGACGUACAACUUAGAGGGGUGACACUUCGAGUGCUCCCGACCCCAUGCCACCGCCAGCGGCGCUAGCGGCCGCCGCCUUCUCCUCCCCCGCUUCCCUCCCUCCUUCCACCUCCCUCCCCUCCCCUCCCCACCUCCCUCUCUCUCCCCCACACCCCCUCUUCCUCCCCCAUCUCAGCCCUAGCCCCCUCCACGCUACUGGCGGCGGCGUCGCAUCGUCUCCGCGCUACUUCCUGGGGUUAGACCUAGGAGUGCCGCGCUGACAGGAACGGUUGGGAGAGCACGGGCCUCGGUUGUGGGGGGACCCCGUGCCGCCACCGGCGGUCGUCGAACCCUUCUCGCCCUCUCCAAGGGUCGUCGCCUCUUCUUCUCCUUGUGCGCGUGCGUGCGCUGGCGCAGAGCCACCCGGAAUGGACAUGCUUCGGGGGGGCGUGCGUGCGCGGCGUGGCUUACGACGCCUUCAGGCUCCUGCUCCCCAUCGAGGACAAGCCUCGUCGGCGGCGGUGUCUCUGCAGCGGCUACUGGGUCAAGGCCUAGGCUUUCGACGCCGGCCACCCUAAGCUCCUCCCUCUCGGUGGCCGUGGCUCCCUUCUGGCCUCCUUCGAGAGAGCGCUCAAUGCAUCGCCAGUGGGCGGACGACGACCGUGAGGCUUCCAUCGACGGCCACCACCUAGCUACAUCGGCGCCGUGCGCUGCCUAGCGAAGGCGGUCUCGGCUCGCUCUACUUCAGGCUCGGGCCAAGCUGGAGUAGUCCACGAAAGGCAGUGACGAGGUCAUGGGCGGAGGUGGCGUGGUCGGCCGCGUUCACACCUAGUGUGUGGCCUACCUGUACAGCCUGUGGAGGGUCGCACCCCUGCUCGCCAGCGCUGUCGUGGUCGGAUGUCUGCUCAUGUCACCAACGAGUGGCAGGAGGUGCUCCACCGACAGCAAACGGGGUUGGCUACCACCUCGGUUGUGUCUCGCACCGGCCAGUUGCAGCACCAACAACCUCAGAAGAUCCCACAGAGCUUCUUGGGAGAUGCUUCAAUUGUCUGUCCUCUACUCAUCAAGUAGAAACUUGUCGGUUACCUCGGCGCUGCCUAUGCUGUUGCGGUCUCCACCACCUUGCAAGGAACUGCAUGCGACCUAGGCAUGCUGCAGAGCGUCCGGUGUGUCUGGUGCAGGCGCGCACGCGUGGUAACCGUUGGCGGCAACGGUCGAGUUCAAACAGCUAGUGACACAUGGCGGUCAGCUGAGCACCGGACGCUGGAGGUUGAGCGUGUGAUGCCCACGUGUUUUGCCCAGUGAAGGGGCAACGGCUAGUUUAGCCCUUGGGGCUAUAAUUAGAAGUGGUGGCCGGCCUUGGCUGGUGCUGAGCACCCUUGGGACUUAGUGUCCAUGCUUGGGGAGUGCUAGAAAAGCCUCUAACUUGUGCUUGCAAGAGUGCGAAUCAAUAGCGAGUGAGUGAUUCUAGUGUGUUGCAUUGAGAGAUUGCAUCGAGUGGCACUAGGUGUUCGUGUUGCAAGCCGGUGGUGCUUGUUACUGUUGGAGGUUGCCACCUCCUAGACGGCUUGGUGGCUUGUGACUCCGUCGAAGCACGCAAGGAGAUUGUGCGGUGCUCCAGAGAAGAGAUUGUGAGGGGUACGGUGCUCACCCCGCGGGGAUCGCGAAGAGCAACUCUAGUUGAGCGAGACGUGAAGAGCGACAAGUGGUCCGACCGGAUCAAGUGCUAGAGCUUGUGGUAAGCACUCCACGUGGGAGAGUGUGACUUGCGGGUCACCCUAGCAAGAGGACCGGCGGCAACCUUGGAGCUUGUCUCAACAGAGACGUAGCUUAGUGGCAACCAAGUGAACCUCGGGAGAAAAUCAUCGUGUCAACUUUGUUCUUCCCAUUGGUUUGCAAGUCCCUAACACAAGCUUGUAUUUACAUUCUUAUGUUUGUGCUUGUGUAGUUGCUCUUGUAAUUAGUUAGCUUGUGUAGCUUGCUAGUUACCUUCUUGUUGUGUAGCGUGACUAAUUUGGUUUGUGUAACCUUGUUAGUCACAUUGCUUAGUUUGUGUAGCUAAGUAACUUGCGCUCUCUAAUUUGGCAUUGGUUGCCUUGUUAUUGAGCAUUGCUAGUGAGCUUAGGAGCUUUGUGCUUUUGCUUACUAGUUGUGUAGGAGCUCCCCAGUUUGCAAAGUACUAGUGGCAUAGGUUUGUGUGACCUUGCUUCUAGAAUUGGUUAGGUGAGCUCUUACUAAGGUAGCACUUUGUUUGCUUGUUUAGGAUCUUUUACAAGGUGCUAGAGAACUUAGAUAGAGGGGUGUAGUCUUGGCUAGACCGAUAGUUUCAAUUCCGCACUUAUUUCGGUUAGCCGGUGCGAUAAUUUUUAGAAAGAACUAUUCACCCCCUCUAGUCCGCCAUCUCGACCCUUCACACCCCAGCGUGUGUCCCGUAGCUCGGCUUGCAUGGGAGGGCCCAUGCAGGUUACCGUGGCGGGCGUCGAAGGAAGCUGUCGACAUCGGCAACGACAUCGAGGAAAGCAGGCGAGGGUCACCACCUCUUGCGGCAACGGCAACGUCGCUACUACCAUCGAAGCUGGCAGCUUCCUCGUGACCUCGUGGGGUUAGAGCUGCUCAGAAGCUCGACGCCACUUGUGUGGAUCAGCCUAAUGCCUGAGGAGUUUUCUAUCAUGCUUUAGGUUGCUACUUCCUCGGUGACGGUUGCUCCACGCACGGCGUACCCGCCUCCGUCAUCUCCUGUACAAGUUGUGCCUCCUUAGAUAGGGCCCGUUGUGGUGAUCACGGUGGCGCCCGCAGCGGGCGCUUUGCUACCGGUAGACGGUCUGUUGAACGACCAAGCCACGUAUGACCUUAGCGACAUAGCUCCCACGUCGAGCGAGGCCGCCGCACCGUCUCAGCCAUCAGCACCAGAGUUGGCGUUGCUAACGCCUCCUCACAAGGGUCAGCCCGACGUCACGUGUGGGGAUGAGACGCUGACGCUGCUCGAGGCCGCUCGUCACCUUGCAAGGUUUCUUAACAAGGUGCGAGUCAAGCGGGAGUCGUCCCUCAUCGCCUCCCCACCUCAGCAAAGGACGCUUGUUAGGAGGCUCCCGCCUAUCUAGCUCAAGAGUUGUCGAAUUGUCGCCCAGCCGUUGACGCAUAUUCUGGCUUCUAAACAGAGCGAGGUUCUCCUAAACAAGCGGCUGGGAAUCGCUCCGCCGACCGCAUCGGUUUCACCCAUGGUGAGAGGGAUACUCGACACCCUGUGUGUUGGGGCCUUGUCGUCGAGCGAGGUAGAGGCCCUGGACGCGCUAUUCCCAGCGUUCAAUAGACACACGUGCGGGCUCUUCCGAAGGAUUCGUAGGACGUGAUGUCAAGCGCUUUUUGGUUGAUUCAGUAUGUAAUAUCGGUCCACAAAACUCUUUGCUAGGUCGGUCUAGGUGUCGACCACCUAGCGCGCUUGCUGCAUGUUGGUUGUAUUGUAAACUAUUUUUUCUUAAUAUAAUGAUACGUAGAUCUCCUGCGUAUUCGAGAAAAAAAGAAAGGUGAUACACAACUAAGGCCUUGUUUAGAUACAUGCAAAAACCCAAAACUUUACAAGAUUUCCCGUCACAUCGAAUCUUGCGGCACAUGCAUGGAACAUUAAAUGUAGAUAAAAAAGAUAACUAAUAGCACAGUUUACUUGUAAAUCACGAGACAAAUCUUUUAAACUUAGUUGCUCCAUAAUUGGAUAAUGUUUGUCAAAUAAAAACGAAAGUGCCAAAGUGUCAAAAUCCAAAAAAAUUUGAUCUAAACAAGGCCUAAGUGUAAACAACAAAACAACGCCAUAAGGUUCAAACUCACAUCUAGAAGAGAAGAAAAGGCAACAAAGUUUAACCCAUCUAGGUUAAGUCUAGCGCAUAUUUGUAGAUAUUUUUUAGGACAACAUACUGAUCCAGCAGUGGUCCCUGAUGCUACAUAAGGAGGACGAGCAUGCGUCGUUUAAGCAUGUUGGUCCCUGAUGCUACAUAAGGAGGACGAGCAUGCGUCGUUUAAGCAUGGUUGCAGAAUCUUGGAGAUGGUGAUUAUGAUGGUUUUUUGUAAAGUUUGGUUGAUGCUUCAGGAAUCAAAAGCGUAGCUUUUAGUUCUUUUUCUAGUCAUGAUGUGAAAGAGCCCACUCUAGAUGGGUCAGCCAAUGUGCAAUAGCCCUCUCUACAACCUAGAAGGGAGCUACAUCCAUCAUCGAAUACUUCACCAAGAUUGCUCCCUCGGUGACGAGAUGGCUGCCAUCACGAAGCCAUUGGGUGAUGAGGAGAUAAGAACAUACUCCCUUUGGAAUGCACUGUCCUGAAUGGGAAAAAAACAAGGUGGCUAGUCCUAGAGUGUUCCAAUUGAGUUUUAUCAAGCUUGUUGGCAAACUGUCAAAUCUGAUAUAAUUUAGCUUUUUGCUGACUUCCAUCAAGGUAGGGUAGACAUAAGUAGAAUCAACUAUGGUAUUAUUAUCACCUUACCAGCAAAGAUAUCUAAUGUUGCUAGAGUUGAGCAGUAUAGGCCCAUAUGAGUGUGUUUGGUUGCGUGGCUUAGGGCCUAGCCAGACUUCCAUAAUGCAGCUUCAGGCUGUUUGGCUGCCUAGGUAGCCUCUAAACCAGGCUUGUGAAAGCCAAAAAGGGGGAGAAAAGCUGCAUUGCUGGAGAUGCUCAAUUCCUGCGUUUUAGCUAAGUCUGGCUUGUACAAGCAUGUGGCCCACCUGUAAGUGCUCCUCACCGCCACAAGGAACUCGAAGGGGAGAGAAGGCAGCGACGACCUCAGUUCCGGCCAUCGUCGCCAGCUCCGCGCCGUCCAAAUCCUUAGCUCCAUCCAUCGUCGCCAGCCCUGCCUCGCUCCGGCGACCACACGCGAGGACAAGGAGGGUCCACCGGGCACCUCCCUGAGCUCCAGCCACCAUGCCCGAGGAAGGGGAUGGUUCGCCGACCACCAAGCUCCGGCGGGCACGACCCUCGUCACGUGCGCAUCUUGAGGAGGAGCUCGCGGAUCUCAACUAGAAGCACGCGAGCAGCCGUGCCCGACCGGAUCUCACAGAGGAGAUUCCAUCGGUCGGAUCUUGCAAGCAGCCGUGCCCCGACGACCUGCCAUUCGCCGUGUCCGCGCUCUCGUGGCUUGGUGGGUACCUUGCACGCCCGCCACAUGCUCUCCGUCGCGGCCCGCCGCCUGAGCGCCUGCGAGGCCGCACUGGAUGGCGAGGUGGCCGAGUACCAGUCCACCUAUGCCAUGAAGACCAAGGACCGUGUCACCGAGACGACGACCGCCGAGGAGAUGUGCAAGAUGGCGCGUGCCGCGCACAGGGCCGACAAGCUACGGUGGCGUGCUGUGGAGGCCGUCGCCAGGGAGGUGGCUUGCUGAGAAGAAGAAGAGGAGGCUCGUUGGAAAGAUCGGGAUACUUGCUGGUGUGCUCUUGUAGGAUGUUGUACAGGCUUACUAGCCAGGCAACCAAACAAUGGAUUUGCUAGUCAGACUUAGCUUAGACAGAUAAACCAAACAACAACAAGUUGUGUUGCUAGAGCCAGACUUGAACUAUGCUGACCUAAAAUUUAAGCCAGGCUAGGCUAGCCCAAGUAACCAAACACACCCUAUAUGUCUUUUGAAUUGCUUGUACAAACUGAUUACUAUAACACUCACUAUUAGAUUUGGUUGAACCUUUUGUUGAAAAUUUAAUACACCCAGCAUAGUCUACUUUCAUGAGGAGAAGAAACAUCAUGAUGAGGGUCCUCACUUUACAUGAAAUCUUACAUGAGACUAAUGAAAAAUGACUGCGAGAUUAUCCUAAAGCUCGACUUUGAAAAGGCUUAUGACAAAGUCAAUUGGACCUUGUUAUUUUCCUGCAUGAAAGCUAGAGGUUUCAAUGAGAUUUGGAGUGGGUGGAUUAGGCAAGUGGUUGCGGGUUGGACAAUUAGUGUUAAAGUGAAUAACUUGAUUGGCCCCUAUGUCAAAAGCUAUAAAGGUUUGAGACAAGGUGAUCCCUUGUCACCAAUCAUUUUCAACUUUGUUGCAGACUACCUCACCAGGAUGGUCCUCCAAGCUCAAAGGAAUGGAUUGAUAGUAGGUUUAGUUGAGCACAUCAUCCCUCAUGGGGUUCCCAUUCUUCAAUAUGCCGACGACACGAUAAUUUGUCUUUUGCAUGACCCACAGAAAGCUUUGAAACUGCUUCUAUACUUUUUUAUGAAAUGAUGGUUGGCCUCAAAAUCAAAUUAACAAAAGUGAGAUAGUUAUGAUCAAUGAUCAUGAGAACAUGGCCUUGACCUAUGCUAAAAUUUUCAACUAUCAGAUUGGUUAUUUCCCUAUAAAAUACCUUGGUGUUCCAGUGAGCCCUAGUAGGCUCCAUGUAAUUGAUUGGCUACCCCUUCUUGAGAAAAAUGCUGAGAGAUUGGAUGUUUGGAAGGGAUCGUCCAUGUCUAUUGCUGGUAGGUUAAUUUAAACAAUGCCCCAAUUUAUCACAUGCCUAUCUAUCUCCUUCAGAAAAAAAGUGACCAAGGAGCUCGAUAAGGUUAGAAGAACUUUUUUCUGGCAAGGGUGUCAUACUAAGAGAAAAUACCAUUUAGUGAAGUGGCCUAAAAUCUAUAAAAGUAAAAAGAAAGGUGGAUUGGGGAUAAAAGAUAUGAGGAAAAUGAAUGUGAGCCUCCUUUGCAAUUGGUGGUGAAAACUUGAGGUGGAAUCUGGGUUAUAUAUGGCAAGACAUAGUAACAUAUAAGUAUCUAAGAAGGGAGUCUGUUGUUACAGUCAAGCACAAAGAACUGAUUCUCCUAUUUGGGUUGACCUUAUUAAGAUCAAAGGAAUUUACUUGCAAGUUAGAAAGAAAUGUGUUAAAAAUGGCAAAUCUACUUUGGUAUGGAAAGACAUUUGUCUGUAUAAUGAUCCUUUCUGUAUUCUGGCCCCUGAUCUAUUCAAGCUUUGUGAUCAGAAAGACAUCUCUGCCUUCCAGUUGGUUAGUGGUGAGGUUCCUAUCUCUUUCUGUAGAUUUGAUCAGAGAGAUGAAUGGAACAAAAUCAAAGAGAACAUUUUUGACACACUGCUGUUGUUUGAUCAGGACACAGUCUCCUGGAAACUUGAAUGCAGAGACAAUUUUUCUGUGAAGUCUACUUAUAAUGCUUUGACAUGUUAUUCUCCUGAAUCUGCUAAUCAUUUGUUAUUCAAUUGCUUUGCUGCCAAGGUGGUUUGGGCAACUGCCGCCACUUGCCUUGGAGCGACUAACAUCCCAACUUCCUUUGAGCAAAGUUGGAGAUGGUGCGAACGAUGGGUUCCUAGAGAAAAUCAGUUUUAUGUUGUUGGCAUUGUAGCAAUUUGUUGGUCUAUCUAGAAAAUGUGAAACAAAAUUUGUUUAGAUGGAAAGAAACUCAAUAAUCCUCUAGAGAUAGUGAGGAAUGCAUGUGCUUUAAUGAAAUUCAGGGCAGGUCUUCAAAAGGAAGAUGAUAAGGAGGUGUUGACCAAAGGCGUGGAGACCAUAUUCAAGAUUGUUGUGCAACUUCUGACCAAGAAAUAUAGAGUUGCUCGUCAGUCAAACCUCCUUCAGGAUGCAAUCAGGGAGGACGAUGUGAACCAGGAGCCAGGUCGUUGAAGAUAUACGGAGGAAUGCAAGCCUCAAGCCCGCAUGUGAAAAGCUUUUGUGUUUGUCGCUACUGUUGAUCCCUGGGUUGUAUUCUAUCGUGGGGGUUUAAGUCCUUCAAAUUGUCUUUGUUCUGUUUGUAUGUUGCUCUUCUGAACUCUCUAAAACUCUGUUUGUAUUUUCGUUUAUGAUGCAAUGGAAAUGGGGAGAUCCCUGGUUCAAAAAAAAAAAACAGCGUACUCUCUCUGUUUUUAAAUAGAAGUCGUUCUCGGUUUUUGAGAAGUCAAUUUUUUUAACUUUGACCAACUAUAUAUAAAAGAACAUUAAUAUUUAUAAUACAUAAUUAGUGAUAUCAGAUAGAUUAUUGAAUAUACUUUCAUAAUAAAUUUAUUUGGAGAUAUGUUACACAUAUUUUUUAUAAAUUUAAUCAAAAUUAAGAAAAUUUAACCUGCACGCAUUCCAUAACAUGACUUCUGUUAUGGGAUGAAAAAAGUACAUUCUCAACAGCCUCAACACCGAGUGCAGAUAAUCAGGAUGACACGAGUACAAGCUCCAGGGGUCAUGAAACUCUUCGCUUUCAAGAAAAAAGCUCGCUCCUAUGCUCUAUCAUAUAAGUUCCUAUGCCAUUUAAUUUGUCACUUUAAUAUGAAUAGUCACAUAUUAGUGCACAACUGUUUACACGAACUAAGCUUCCUUCCACGGCUUCACCUUCUUCCCCUCCUCCGAUGCUGCAAUGACCAUGUCGCAUCUGUUCGACCUGUGCCCUAGCCGCCGCCUUCGCUCCGCCUGCUCUGGCGGCGUCACCGCUGCCUCUACCUAGCCAUCAUCUCUUCCAUCCCCCGUCUAGCCUUCCUGGCUCUUCAAACUAUACUUGGCCAAACGGGCGGUCCGGCCCUGGCACUAUACGGCACUAUGCGGCACUAUGUCUUUCGUGCCGUACCGUCUCGGGCCAUCGUGCCAAACUCUCGGCCUAGGCACGACACUAUGGCUCCUUAACCGUGCCGUGUCGUGCCGAUAGGCACGGUGGCCCAUCGUGCCCGUGCCGGCCCGUGGCUCCAGGAGAAGUCGAGAAGCUCACUGCGCCUUGCCUCAAAGAGAAAACGAGCGCCACCGUUGUCAUAUAGUCAGGCGGGAAGAAAGAGUAGUCGUAACAAGGAUGCGUCUGCGCCGCCGACUAGGAAGUUAGGGUUUGAAAGAGUUGUGUGAUGCUUAUAUACAUGACUUAGAAUAUAUUCAAUAGUCAUGAUCUAUCCUCAAAGCAUCAGAUGAUAGAAAUAAUCGUGCCAACGUUGUGCCAGCCUAUUAACCGUGCCGUGCCCGUGCCGGCACUGCGGGCCGAAGUUGCGGCCCAGGCACGACACUACCACCGGGCCGUGCGGUGCAUGGACCGUGCUUUUUAGUGUCGUGCUCGGGCCGGCUCAUCGUGUUAGUGCCAGAUGGAAAUCUAUACUUCAAACCUUUUCCCGAGGCCAUGAGGGCAGAGAAGAAAAGAAGAAGCGAGAGAGGGCGCGUUUGCCUUCUUCAUUGCAUUGUUAGAAGAGCCUAGCCAUGUCACGGUAGAUUUGUUCAGAAAAGAAAAGAAAAAGAUGCCACGGUACAAGUGAGAAGAAAACAAGUGCGCGCAGAAGGAGAAAUGGGGUCAGGGCGUUCAGCUCCUUUUGUCCACGAUGAUCCUCUGGUGAAGAACGAGGUUCUGGGAUCUAUUUGGUGUAUCCUUCCUUUUUUUUUUGGGGGGGGGGGGGGGGGGGUAGUCAAUGUAGAAUUAGCUAGGUUUGAAAUUUCAAUCUUUUUUGAAUUUUGGAUCUUUUUUUUUUACUCCAGAAAGACUGAUAAUAACUGAGGCCAUGGCCAUGUCGUUGUAUAUAUACUCCAUGUCAUAGCCAUACACGGAGGGAGUAGCAAGCAGAAACACUCGAAGGACAUGCAUGUACCGCGACUGUAAAUAAAGAUACUUAUUCCGUAACACACUAAUCCACCAUUGUACCAAGCAGAACGCAGCAUCAAACCUUGAUUAAUUAUUCGCUCAUCAUCCGGCUGAAGGCGAGCAUUGGUCACGCGCAUGUCGCCUCGCUUCCUUACUUGCCCUGCUGCUCGCCGCCGACCGUGACCUGGACGACGCGCGGCUUCUUGGGCUCAGGCGGCGGCUUCUUGUCGACGGUGACGGUGAGGACGCCGUCCCUGUACUCGGCGCGGAUGCUGUCCAGGUCGGCGCUCUCCGGCAGCGGGAACCGCCUCAUGAACUUGCCCAUCCGCCUCUCCAUCCUCAGGUACUUCACCACCCCUUGCUUCUCGCCGCCGUCGGCGACGGCCUGGGCCUGCUGCUUGCCCUCGGCGCCGCCGUCCUCGGCGGGG
rnacentral:lncRNA from 1 species